UGCAGUCGAGCGGACUUGAUGGAGAGCUUGCUCUCYYGAKRGUUAGCGGCGGACGGGUGAGUAACACGUAGGCAACCUGCCCUYUGGACUGGGAUAACUACCGGAAACGGUAGCUAAUACCAGAUAAUUCACUUCUUCGCAUGGAGAAGUGAGGAAAGACGGAGCAAUCUGUCACCGGAGGAUGGGCCUGCGGCGCAUUAGCUAGUUGGAGAGGUAACGGCUCCCCAAGGCGACGAUGCGUAGCCGACCUGAGAGGGUGAUCGGCCACACUGGGACUGAGACACGGCCCAGACUCCUACGGGAGGCAGCAGUAGGGAAUCUUCCGCAAUGGGCGAAAGCCUGACGGAGCAACGCCGCGUGAGUGAUGAAGGUUUUCGGAUCGUAAAGCUCUGUUGCCAAGGAAGAACGUCCUUAAGAGUAACUGCUUAAGGAGUGACGGUACUUGAGAAGAAAGCCCCGGCUAACUACGUGCCAGCAGCCGCGGUAAUACGUAGGGGGCAAGCGUUGU
rnacentral:rRNA from 1 species